AUUGAACGCUGGCGGCAUGCCUUACACAUGCAAGUCGAACGGCAGCACGGGAGCAAUCCUGGUUGCGAGUGGCGAACGGGUGAGUAAUACAUCGGAACGUGCCCAGUAGUGGGGGAUAACCCGUCGAAAGCCGGACUAAUACCGCAUACGACCUACGGGUGAAAGCGGGGGAUCGCAAGACCUCGCGCUAUCGGAGCGGCCGAUGUCAGAUUAGCUAGUUGGUGGGGUAAGGGCCUACCAAGGCGAGGAUCUGUAGGUGGUCUGAGAGGACGACUAGCCACACUGGGACUGAGCCACCGCCCAGACUCCUACGGGACGCAGCAGUGGGGAAUUUUGGACAAUGGGCGCAAGCCUGAUCCAGCGAUGCCGCGUGUGAGAAGACGGCCUUCGGGUUGUAAUCCGCUUUUGUCAGGGAAGAAACGCUCCGGGCUAAUACCACGGAGUAAUGACGGUACCUGAAGAAUAAGCACCGGCUAACUACGUG
rnacentral:rRNA from 1 species